UAAUCAUCAUCGUUGCCACUGUCUAAUAACGGAUGUAAAAAAGAACGAUAGCAAAAAUUAGUUAUGUUAAAAUUAUUGUGGCCCCCCCUCCCCCCCUGCGUGACCUGAGCGCGUCUGGUGUGGGUGGACAAAAAAGCACGAGUGCGGAUCGGGUACUGGCUAGAGGCGGAGAGGGUAGUAAGUAGGGCUGCACGCACCAGUAGAUAACAGUAGCCAGAAAAUACUGGGCCGGUACCAAAGGAUACAACCGCCAGGUUGGAUUCGAAUAAAAGUUGCAAUGAAGGACAUGUGUUUCCGGUGUAAUGACACAAAGUGCCCAGAGGUGACGAAAUGUUUUGAUCAUAAUGAUGACCUGAACCAGAAUCUGCUGAUGGUGCCAGGUCCUUUCCAGCAAUGCACAUCCACCCCCUAUCCUCCUUCUGGGAGGUGCACCAUGUGUAGUCUGGAUUAUUAUUACACUGUGUGCAGAAACGUCUCAGAGAGCUUCCAGCCUGCCCUGGAGGCCAACAGCACAGCCAUUACCAACUAUGAACAAGCCAAUUGCCUUGUCAUCGGCAUCGCACCAACUACUGUGAAUGGUUCAGACUUCACUGGAGCUGCUGCUCAAUAUGGACAUCCUGCACUCAGGACUACCCAUCCCUUAACCAAGCUAUUUGGACCCAACCCCCAGAGAAAGUGACAGGGACAGCACUCAGGACUACCCAAACCCCCAGAUCAGGAUGCUGCUGCGUUAUCUCUGCCUUAAUUCCAUCACUUUAACUCUUCUUCUUAAAGUUGUAAUCUUUUAAUACGUUUUCAUAUUCAUAUUCUUGUAAAUCAGUACCGUUAAACCAGUGCCUUGGAUAAUUUUUGGUCCUCUAAUACUGACACCAGCCGGCUAAAGCCUACUCUUAUUCUUAGGAAUAAGUAUGGAAAUACAAAUGUUUUACCCAUGACGCAUCUACCAGGGUAUUUUGAAUGGGGCAAAAAAGGAAAAUAUGUCCAGUUAUUAAUCAAGCAGAGAUAAGCUUAUUCAAAAGUUGAUGCACUUUAACCCACCAAUGAAUUAUAAUUUACACAUGUUCUAUAACACCCAUUCCACCUUUGAAACUUCAUAUGAGUCUGGUCUGCACAUGGCUGAGGGAGGAAUGUAGUGAUUUAUAAUACAAGUUAUUACCAUCAAGAUGAUGGUACAGGACCCCACUACUGAAAAUCAACCUGGGUUCAUAAAUGAUUUGUGCCAUCCAUCUCCCUAAUGAAAAGGAUUUAUCCUAGCCUUCACCACCACUGUACUGUAUGUAAAAGCAUUAUGUUGUACUGUGCUAUUUGUCUAUGUCAGUACUGUAUUUCUAAUGCUAGUGUUUGUGAAAUGCAGUAAGUCUAUUUACAAGUAUAUUUAUGCUGUAAAGCAGGGUUUCCCAAAGUCAUUUAAAUUGGUUAUUUGAAUCAGCUGUGUAGUGCUAGGGCAAAAAAGAUAUAUGGACCCAGGGUGGGCCCCACAACUGAGUUUGGGAAACCCUGCUGUACAUUAUGAG
rnacentral:lncRNA from 1 species